GUAAGAGAGUGCUGGUGUGCUCUGUGAAGACACCAAGUGUUAGAAUAAUGUUUUAAUUACGAGAACAUGGAAGCAGAAGUCUUCAUGCAAGCGAGAAUGCUCCCCUGGGCAAAAAAAGGAAGACGCUUGCAGCACUUGUAUCUGUGCUGAGGAGGGCUACUGGGAGUGCAGUUACACCUGCUUUAAGCAGAAAACAUCGAAACCCUGUAAGCCUGGAACUAUGCUCUCUGAUGGCUGCACCACAUGUACCUGUAACCCAGAUGGGACGACUGCCACAUGUACCAUGAACGACUGUUCAUCCCAGCUUCCUGGAGAGGUUUGUCCAGACUGUGAGCAGAAACCAUAGAAAAAGUCUUGUGAUGUGAAGAUUUGCUUGUGAACAAACUAUGAGAUUUCAUGUACUAUAGCAUGUAGUUUAUGCUGAUUUAUUGAGAAAUAAAAACUUUUUGUG